rnacentral:rRNA from 1 species
CCUACGGGAGACAGCAGUGAGGAAUAUUGGUCAAUGGGCGUAAGCCUGAACCAGCCAAGUCGCGUGAGGGAUGAAGGUUCUAUGGAUCGUAAACCUCUUUUAUAAGGGAAUAAAGUGUGGGACGUGUCCUGUUUUGUAUGUACCUUAUGAAUAAGGAUCGGCUAACUCCGUGCCAGCAGCCGCGGUAAUACGGAGGCUCCGAGCGUUAUCCGGAUUUAUUGGGUUUAAAGGGUGCGUAGGCGGCCUUUUAAGGCAGCGGUGAAAGUCUGUGGCUCAACCAUAGAAUUGCCGUUGAAACUGGGAGGCUUGAGUAUGUUUGAGGCAGGCGGAAUGCGUGGUGUAGCGGUGAAAUGCUUAGAUAUCACGCAGAACCCCGAUUGCGAAGGCAGCCUGCCAAGCCAUGACUGACGCUGAUGCACGAAAGCGUGGGGAUCAAACAGGAUUAGAUACCCGGGUAGUC